CCUGGUAUCACAGCAUUAGAAAUACAAGGGGAAAAGCCAAGACGAUGAAAGCCAGGGAACAUAGCUGCAAGCACCAGAGAGCACAAGUUCCCCUCCAUGGCUCUGCGGCUCAAAUGGAAAAAGGAGAGAUGUCUGCUUUGAUUUCUUUCCUUUUAAUUAAUCAGGAUCACAAAGCAAUCUCCACCCUGUCCCUGGGAUUUAAGAUACUGGUUAAACUCCACCGUGUCCCGAAUUCUCCACAGAAGGUGGAGGAGUGUUCAGAAUCUGAAGUCCACCCGCGGACCAUUAAAAACCUCUAGGUCUGUGCCCUCAUUUUUAACACUCAAAUUAAAGGAUCACCCUGAGCCACCACGCAGUGCACUCUUCUCUAUUUUCUCCCUCUUGUUGCUGGGCCGGUUUUGGAAAUUAGAAGGGGUGGUCUCUUUGUUAGCAAUCUGUUUACUUUCUUCUGAUACAAUGAAGCAUCAGGUCGAAGGUGACAAGGCUUCUUUGCUUAGUCAUUUUUACCCAUCUCUUUGUAGAUGAUGUUUUUUUCCAUUUUCAAUUUUUUUUUUCAUCAAUGCCAUCUCCCCAACAGCAUUUCAAAAAUAAAAUUUCCAAGUCCUUUUUUUAAAUGUGGUUCCAGUCAAAUGAUUUACCCACACCCCAAAUAAUAUUAUUUACAUCCAGUAUUAAUAGCUGCAUAUCAGUAAUUCUUAGAGAUCUUCUGAUCCAUAUUUAACAAUUUAAAUGAUGGCUAACAUUAUUGCCAGGCAAAUGCCUGAACCAAUAGUUUGUGGACUAGUUGCCAGCCAGAUGACAGCCAGGUAUACACAGGGUAAGAACAUAAUUAAGUUUCUGCCCUAGUCUCUUCAAUUGCAGAAGGCAGACAACACUCUUUCUCACCUUCCAGGGAAGUAGAUUAGCAGAUUAACAAAAUGAUGUAAAUCACAUAAGCUUUACAUCCCCCUUCCCCUUCUAAUACCUAUUUAGGAACACUUUAAAAUUUUUCCUUUAGGCAUCUAGUCUUUCUGUGGUUUAGCCACAUGCUCUCCCCUUUUUGGCUUUCUCCUUCUGUAAAAUAAGUAAGGUGAAAGAGCAGAUUAGGAGUUUUUCUUUUUCUUACAGCUUUCCUGUGUUUGAGUGGAUCAUCCUGUUGCCAUCGUUUUAGUCCAGUUGUUGUUAAUUCAUGUUCUUACCACCCACCAAAGAAUAGCACAGGAUUAAGUUUAUAUUAAUAAAUGAUGUUCAUGAGUAGGUUUUUAAAUGCCAGAGUUAUGAUUUAUUUUUUUAAAUGGGUGGAGAAAGGAGAGCGGCAAUAACUAGCUCCCAAGUCAUUCAAAAUCCUGGCAUCACACAUCUAUGUGGGUUUUUCUUUCUUUGUUUUGGUCUUUAAGUUUUUUGGACACACCUCUUAUUUCCCUUUUAGUCCUAUAUCAUGGAAUAAAUGCUUUUUUUGACUAUCUUUGUCCAUAGCUUGAAACCCUGUUUAUUACAGUUAAAUUUAUAGAAAGUAUUAUAUGGUCCUCUUUUCUUCUUCUUAAGAGCUUAUAAUUGUCCCUGUUUAUCUCCCCACCCAUUAAGAAUUCUGUAAUAAAUCCCUGCACCAAAUAAAUUAAAAUCUGCAACUUCAGACACCCGAGGAAGAGGACAUUAAUCCACUUAGUAAAAUACUCAAGACCUCCCCCUCUCAAUUUCAGCUCUUCUUAAUGUAACAUUCAGUAAUUACAGCUGGCUCCUUAUACUUCCCUCCCUCCCUUUUAUUCUGAAUUAUAUUGGCCUUGCUUAACCUUCAUUUCCUUUUCUACCCCCCACAUUUGUCCACAUACUUUUCUUUGACCAUGUUUGUCUCUUUCUCUUUCUUUCUGCUGUGUGGAUUGAGGGCAACAAAUGAAGCUUUCCAAGAGCUUAAUACUUGCCCGUAAAAUCCCAUCCUACCUCCCCAUUCCACUAUUAACGUUUUGUACAAUUUUUAUGCAUCCUUCAGUUGUGUAGUUACUGCUCUAUAUUUUUCUGAUUGAUCAUUAAGUUAUGCUGGCUUUUCAGAACUGUCUCCAUAAUCCUGAAGCAAAGCCUUUUUACUUGGCAUGCUCUCUGCCUUUGGAAUGCCUUUCCUGGCAAGGACAGACGCUUUGGUUUGACUACGAUUCUUAAGUUACAAUUCAAAGCUAAUUUGUUCAGUUAGGUUUCUACUAUGAGCAGCUCUGUUUCUCACCGUUAAGUGCUCCAUGAUGCUGCUUAGUUGAAGGGUGUGUUUGAGAGGCAGAAGGAAGAAAGAGGAGAAAGAGAAGACAAAUGUUUUUCCCUUCUUGAAGAGGUGGUCUUGACUACUGCUCAACCACAGCCUACUGAAAGAGCCCUGGAAAAUCUGAGUUCUAGAUCUGCCUGUACCACUGUGGGACCCAAGGCAAGUCAACUUCUCCUCAGGCCCCAGUUUCCUACAUCUCAAAUACAGGAGGUUACAAAAAUAAGUGAUUCUCAGGAGGGCCAGGGAAGUUACCUAAAUGUAUGAAUUCAGCAGAGUGUAAGACCACAGGGAGUGGUGGGGGCCUGUGACAGAUGGGGUAUACUCACUGAAUGCCUCCCUAAAGGGAGAACCAGAGCAAUAAUAAAAACACUUAAAAUAAUGGCCAUAUUCCGGGCAUGGUGGCUUACACCUGUAAUCCCAGCACUUUGGGAGGCCGAGACAGGUGGAUCACGAGGUCAGGAGAUUGAGACCACCCUGGCUAACAUGGUGAAACCCCGUCUCUACUAAAAAUACAAAAAAAU
rnacentral:lncRNA from 10 species